UACGAAGGGGGCUAGCGUUGUUCGGAAUUACUGGGCGUAAAGCGCGCGCAGGCGGUCUUCCAAGUCAGUGGUGAAAGCCCGGAGCUCAACUCCGGAAAUGCCAUUGAAACUGUGAGACUUGAGGAUGAGAGAGGUGAGUGGAAUUCCCAGUGUAGAGGUGAAAUUCGUAGAUAUUGGGAAGAACACCGGUGGCGAAGGCGGCUCACUGGCUCAUUUCUGACGCUCAGGCGCGACAGCGUGGGGAGCAAACAGG
rnacentral:rRNA from 1 species